rnacentral:rRNA from 1 species
AGUGAACGCUGGCGGUAGGCCUAACACAUGCAAGUCGAACGGCAGCACAGUAAGAGCUUGCUCUUACGGGUGGCGAGUGGCGGACGGGUGAGGAAUACAUCGGAAUCUACUUUUUCGUGGGGGAUAACGUAGGGAAACUUACGCUAAUACCGCAUACGACCUACGGGUGAAAGCAGGGGAUCUUCGGACCUUGCGCGAUUGAAUGAGCCGAUGUCGGAUUAGCUAGUUGGCGGGGUAAAGGCCCACCAAGGCGACGAUCCGUAGCUGGUCUGAGAGGAUGAUCAGCCACACUGGAACUGAGACACGGUCCAGACUCCUACGGGAGGCAGCAGUGGGGAAUAUUGGACAAUGGGCGCAAGCCUGAUCCAGCCAUACCGCGUGGGUGAAGAAGGCCUUCGGGUUGUAAAGCCCUUUUGUUGGGAAAGAAAAGCAGCAGGUUAAUACCCCGCUGUUCUGACGGGACCCAAAGAAUAAACACCGGCGAACUUCGU